rnacentral:lncRNA from 1 species
UCAAAAUCAUCAUGAUCCAAGGCCAACAAAAGUCCACAAGGUUAAAAAAAAUAAAAAUUCAAUUAAAUGAAAUAAAAAUGCAUAAAAGGUAUUUUAAAAUGAUUUUUAAAAUGGAAUAAAAAUGGGAAAUCUACAAAGUCCUUCAAAACACUAAAUAAAUGGCCAAGAAAAUUAUGGAAGGUUGUAAAUAAAAUGAGAAACAUAUAAUAAAAUUUUCAGAAUUAAAAAAUGCACAAAAGUAUUUUUAAACCAAUUAAUACAAAGGAGAAAAGAGAAAAUUCCCA